UGAGGAAUAUUGGUCAAUGGGCGAGAGCCUGAACCAGCCAUGCCGCGUGCAGGAAGACGGCCCUAAGGGUUGUAAACUGCUUUUUUACGGGGGUAAUAGCUAGUCUGCGGACUGGUAUGAAAGUACUGUAAGAAUAAGCGUCGGCUAACUACGUGCCAGCAGCCGCGGUAAUACGUAGGACGCAAGCGUUAUCCGGAUUUAUUGGGUUUAAAGGGUGCGUAGGCGGACCCAUAAGUCAGUGGUGAAAGACUGUCGCUUAACGAUAGCAUUGCCAUUGAUACUGUGGGUCUUGAGUAUAAUUGAGGUAGGCGGAAUGUGUAGUGUAGCGGUGAAAUGCUUAGAUAUUACACAGAACACCGAUUGCGAAGGCAGCUUACUAAGUUAUAACUGACGCUGAGGC
rnacentral:rRNA from 1 species